AAAGAAACUAACAAGGAUUCCCCUAGUAACGGCGAGUGAACCGGGAAGAGCUCAAAUUUGAAAUCUGGCGUCCUUCGGGCGUCCGAGUUGUAAUCUAUAGAAACGUUUUCCGUGCCGGACCGUGUCCAAGUCCCUUGGAACAGGGUAUCAGAGAGGGUGACAAUCCCGUACUUGACACGACGACCGGUGCUCUGUGAUACGUUCUCUACGAGUCGAGUUGUUUGGGAAUGCAGCUCAAAAUGGGUGGUAAACUCCAUCUAAAGCUAAAUAUUGGUGGGAGACCGAUAGCGAACAAGUACCGUGAGGGAAAGAUGAAAAGCACUUUGGAAAGAGAGUUAAACAGUAUGUGAAAUUGUUGAAAGGGAAACGAUUGAAGUCAGUCGUGACCGUUGGGUUCAGCCGGUUCUGCCGGUCUACUCCCUUCGGUCGGGUCAACAUCGGUUUUGACCGGCGGAUAAGGAAGGGAGGAAUGUGGCACCCUCCGGGGUGUGUUAUAGCCUCUCGUCGCAUACGUCGGUCGAGACCGAGGAACGCAGCUCGCCUUUAUGGCCGGGGUUCGCCCACGUCCGAGCUAGGA
rnacentral:rRNA from 1 species